UGGGGAAUUUUGGACAAUGGGCGCAAGCCUGAUCCAGCCAUGCCGCGUGAGUGAAGAAGGCCUUCGGGUUGUAAAGCUCUUUCGGCGGGGACGAAACGGUUCGUGACAACACCACGGACUAAUGACGGUACCCGCAUAAGAAGCACCGGCUAACUACGUGCCAGCAGCCGCGGUAAUACGUAGGGUGCAGGCGUUAAUCGGAAUUACUGGGCGUAAAGCGUGCGCAGGCGGUUUGUUAAGACAGGUGUGAAAUCCCCGGGCUUAACCUGGGAAUUGCGCUUGUAACUGGCAGGCUAGAGUGUGGCAGAGGGGGGUGGAAUUCCACGUGUAGCAGUGAAAUGCGUAGAUAUGUGGAGGAAUACCGAUGGCGAAGGCAGCCCCCUGGGCUAACACUGACGCUCAUGCACGAAAGCGUGGGGAGCAAACAGGAUUAGAUACCCAAGUAGUCCCUGAGCGGGCUGGCAAGGCGCAU
rnacentral:rRNA from 1 species